GCCUCUUAUUUGUUCAGGGGAAGGAAAGCAUGUUUUAUUAAAUACAUAAGGUUGAUGUUCUCACUAUAGCUAUGUCUGUAAGUGCUACACUUUGCAUAAGUGAGUAUGUGUACUGUUAAAAGAGCAACAUCAGGCCUAAAAUGCAAUCCCUUGUGCUCGCCCACUCAGCACGCUGAGCCUUAAUACCCAACCACAUUGCAUUUCAGUUCCUCCCAGGAAUGAAAUCUUAAUCAGUCAGUCUGGGUUUUCCCGUUCAGCACUAAUGAGGUCAUCUGCCCACUGGUCCCCCGCCCCUCCCCUAAAGGGACUGCCUGAACAGUCCUCUGGUCUAGUAACUUACUUCUCCUCCACCAUCUGCCUACCAAAGCCUUCCAUUUGGCACAGCUCCUCCGAGCUCCUCCUGUCUGCUGCAUUGAAUGCUGCUCAAUGCGUACGUCAUUCAAUACAGCCAAUUUAAAUUUACCCACUUGAAUUCUGUGUUUUACAGUACUUUAAUUCAAAAUAGCUUACAUCAUAACAACAGUUAGUAUACAUAAUAGUGAUUUCAUAUAUUAACUGUAGGGUUAUUACUGCUGGAUUUUCAGAUGACUGGGUUCUUAAAAAUUCAGGUUAAACAACAGUUUAUAUCACAUAAGCUCCUAUUAUUCAACAUCUCUAAGCUUUAUUAACCAUCCUCACUUGUGAUAGUGUGAAUUCUGCCUUUAUUAUUGUCAUUAACAAAAUUUAAUCUAUUUUUAUAAAUCACAUACUACAGUUGUUCUUAAAAUUUAUUGUGCUUUCUAAAAUAUAGCUUCUGAAACCCUAUUUCCUGAGAAAUUAAUUUGGAUGGUAGUACUCAGGAAUCUGCAUUUUAUUUACCAUCCCCUGAUAAUCUUAUGCAGAUGGCGGUAGGGCCACACGGAGAAAUGUUGCUAUACCAGUGGUAGUAAAUUUGUCAUCAGAGUUCUUUUCAUCUUUUCCACUUUUUCUUCCUCGAGGGCCAGGAGAGGCUUAUGUGACAGGCCUGUAGCUCAACAUCACCAAGUCUCUCCCCCUGGAUGACUAGCCUGGAGAGAUCAGGGGGCCUGGGAGUCAGAAUCAGAGAG